AUUGAACGCUGGCGGCAGGCCUAACACAUGCAAGUCGAGCGGAGCGGCGGACGGGUGAGUAAUGCCUAGGAAUCUGCCUGGUAGUGGGGGCUAACGUCCGGAAACGGGCGCUAAUACCGCAUACCAUCAGAUGUGCCCAGAUGGGAUUAGCUAGUAGGUGGGGUAACGGCUCACCUAGGCGACGAUCCGUAACUGGUCUGAGAGGAUGAUCAGUCACACUGGAACGGAGACACGGUCCAGACUCCUACGGGAGGCAGCAGUGGGGAAUAUUUGACAAUGGGCGAAAGCCUGAUCCAGCCAUGCCGCGUGUGUGAAGAAGGUCUUCGGAUUGUAAAGCACUUUAAGUUGGGAGGCGUUACCAACAGAAUAAGCACCGGCUAACUUCGUGCCAGCAGCCGCGGUAAUUC
rnacentral:rRNA from 1 species